CUCGGGAGAGGAGAAGGACAGACGGCCGCUGCCCUGCUCAUCAGCCAGGCUGCCAUGUAGCAGCUCUUUGACACUCCUCACAGGCCCCCGAUCUCCCUCCCUAUGGAGCGGUGGGGGUUAUCCUGGUCCCCAUUGGAGGGUGCCGACACCAGUACAGAUUACCUGCAAGCCCAUCCAGCAGUCAGACACCAAAAAACGGUGACUAUGCUGCCUACAAUGGGCAAAGCUGCCUGUUCACAG